UUAUGAGCUAUGUUAAGCUUCAAGUAUGUCAUUUGUACCUUAUUUAACUUGUCCAAUUUUUUUUGUACUGUACAGCCCAUGAUGGCACCGUUGGAAAGCUUUGCUCAGAGUGUAGGAUCAACAACAGCAAUAACACUUGAACAUGAUGCUGAGAGCAGUUUAAAGGGGUCAACAUAUGAGCCUGAGUGCGACGAUAGCUUGCAGCCCAGGAUUGGAAUGUUUUUUGAUAGCUGGGAGGACGGAGAGGCGUUUUACACAAGAUAUGCACAUGAGGCCGGGUUCUCAGUUCGUAGAUUUACACAACACAAAGGUGGUCAUGGUGCAUCGGUGUGGAAGCGUUUUAUUUGCGCAAGGCAAGGAUGGAGGGAAGAGAAAUAUAUUCCAGCCGGCCAAGUAAAUAAGCCUAGGAGGAAGUGAAGUUAAGUAGGUGCCUACUCACUGCAAGAACAAACCUUUUCAGUUUGAUAAAUGUUGACGCUCUGUAGUCUGUUUCAUUGGCAGGAAGACAUUUUUUUUUCAGUUUCGUUGUGCGAUAAGGGGGUCAAGAAGCUGCCUCGCCCAGGUCCAAUCCAGGCCUAUCCACAUGAUCAUUAUUCGUCUUUUCCCCUUCCAGCGUGCUGUUUAGUUUUGAUUUCUCAUGGAUCCAUGGAGGUACUGCAGUCUUCUGCCAAAUUUAGGCAUAACUUAACAAUAAACCUGUUAUCGCCUCACAUUUGGGUUAAUUUAAUUAAAGAUAUGCUUAGAUAGUCCAAACAGCCAUGGUAUAUGGGUGCAGCUGUGCAGCUCAUCAUUUAGUGUCUAGAGUUUACAAGUGCACAACAUUAUACCACAAUCAUUCUACAAGUACAUAGUAUAAAACAUAUAUUUGACCAAUUCUGUUCGUUGUUGGUUGGCUCGUGGGUAGGUGCUCAGAGCAAUUCAGAUAAGCAGUGGUCUGUUUAUUUCAUAAAAAUAUUUAUCUUAUAGACAUGAUCAAGGAGUAUCGCAAAUAUAGUAUUGCAUGGCACUUAACUUUAGCCCUUCAAACCAUGUCCAUUCUGUAAUUUAGAACGACCAGGCAUGCGAGUAGAGCACUGGAACUCUUACUGCUAUAGUAACAUGUUUGUAUAACACAUGUUCAUUUGCUGAUGACAUGGUUCGCGACAUGGUCUGAAUAUUUUUAUUGGUAAGUCAUAAACCUCACAGUAAUCUGGACAGACUUGCGAUGGAAGCUACUCUCGACAUGACUCAUACAGUACUCUGACCAUGAUAUUGUUAUUACUGUUUGACUCAUACAGGGAGAACUAAGGUUGCUUUUAGGGAAUAUUUUGGGUUUAGAAAUAUUUUUCAUAGCUAUUAAUUAAUAUAUUAGACGGUACUAUAAUUUGAGUUUCACUAACCGAGUGAACUCAUGGCAUCAGUAACCCCAGAAUGCUACCAUGUCCUACCAAGAAGCCUGAUACGUGUAAUAGUUGUGAGUAUCUGUUGUUUGAACAUAAAAAUAUAGUCCAGUAUUAUGGGACUGACAAUGUAUAUUCAGCACUCCUUUUGAUGUUGCUUGUUAUUUAUUCCGAUUCAAGAAAUUUUUAUUUAAAUAAUCAUUGUUUGUGUACAUUAGCAACGAUGCUCAAAACUAAAAUGCAUGAAGAAGCAAAACUCUACAUUUUUAUUGAGCUUGUUACAAAAGGUUAUCAUUCAUCUCUCUAUCAGAAGUAUAAACUGUGAGAUUCACAAGUCUCUGCAUACACAAGGAAGAUUCUCAAUGGAUUAGAUCUCCCCCACAGGUUACAACUAUUUUGAUUGAUUACCAAGUGUUGGUGUACUAUACUCUUCAGCUCUUCAGAACUUUGUGAAGAUGAGUGAACUAUUACGAAGAAGAAAAUUAUGGACACAAUACACAGUAUCUUAUUCAAUAUCGAUGAGCUUUGUGAUGUCAAGUGCAAAACUCUGGAGAUUGAUUUCAUUGUCAUGCAAUAUUGAAGGAUCCAGGUUUGUUGACACAUUAAAUUUCCGCUGUUUUUCUUAUGGUGACAUUAGCCAUGUGCCGGAACCUUAGUCACACUCGCUUCUUUUUUUCCUUUUUCUUUUUACCCUUUUCUUUCUUUUUCUUCCUUUUUUUCUUUUCUUUCUUUCUCAUUGUUUUUGUUCUCUUUUCUGUUGGGUAUCAUAUCUAGCCUACCCUAACUUGCUUGAGAAAAAGGCUUUGAUGUUAUUGUUGUUGUUUGCUUAUGGUGACAUCCUAUUAUGAAUGGAUCAUCAGUUGUGUUA